ACCCCCGCCUUACACUAUUAAAAUAGUACAAGCAUUAAUCCCGACAAGUUUUCUCCCCCUCCCUCACCUCGCUAGCAUUCAUUUGAAUAUCCACAUUUUCUGUAUCAUUUAUCUUCCAAAGCCAGCGUCAGCAUACUUUGGUUAGACUGGUGAGAAAAUGGGAUUUGCUUUACCUAGCAAUACAUAUAAUAGUGAAAUACGGCGAUGGAUGUAGGGGCAUACGGCCGAGAGAGAGAUGGUGGAGUGUUUGAAUAGAGUUCUUUCCUGUCCAAACUGCUGCAGAAGACCUGAGAACCUCAUGCGCCCUUAUCCAGAGUAUUUAUGUAUGGACCUCACAUUCUGCACGGGGGCAUUGACAUGCUGAAACAGGAAAGGGCCUCCUCCAAACUGUUGCCACAAUGUUGGAAGCACAGAAUCGUCUAGAAUUUCAUUGAAUGCUGCAGCGGUGUCCAUCUCAAUUAACCUGGGCAUACCGACAACUACCGCCACUCUCAUUGUCGGAGAGUCAUAGAGAAUGCUUUCGGCAUCAUGGCUGCAAGGGUGAGGAUUAUUGGUCAGCCAAUCGAGUUCACCACUGAAAGGGCUAAGAACAUGUGUGGCCCUCCACAACUAUCUGUCCUCCAUGGAUGAGGCUCAUGAGCCGGAUGCCUCGCGCUUUUGCUGACACGCCCCUCCCUUCUAGCAACUACCAACCUGGAGAGUGGAGGGUUGUACCAGGGGGCAACAAUCUCCAAGAGCCAGGGAGACUCAUGUCAGUGUGACAUGGCUUGCAAAUGAUCCAAGAAACAAUCUCAAGGACUUGUUCCCCCACCUCCCCCCGGACGUGUGCCUUGGCAGGAAGACAUGGUUAGGAGAGGACAACUCAAUCCAAGGCCAGCCAAUCAUGCAGAACAGGUCUUUGUUUGGACUGCUCACACACACACACCCCUUGAUGGAUGCACACAGACUCAUACAGUUCUUUGUUGUGUGCACUGUGGACCAAACUACUUUGUACUAAAAUGUGGAGUUUUAAUCUUGUUAAUAAAUUGAAACUUCAUUCUAUGAUUA